rnacentral:rRNA from 1 species
GUAGGUGGCAAGCGUUGUCCGGAAUUAUUGGGCGUAAAGCGCGCGCAGGCGGUUCUUUAAGUCUGAUGUGAAAGCCCACGGCUCAACCGUGGAGGGUCAUCGGAAACUGGAGAACUUGAGUACAGAAGAGGAAAGCGGAAUUCCACGUGUAGCGGUGAAAUGCGUAGAGAUGUGGAGGAACACCAGUGGCGAAGGCGGCUUUCUGGUCUGUAACUGACGCUGAGGCGCGAAAGCGUGGGGAGCAAACAGGGAUUAGAUACCCUGGUAGUCCACGCCGUAAACGAUGAGUGCUAAGUGUUAGGGGGUUUCCCGCCCCUUAGUGCUGCAGCUAACGCAUUAAGCACUCCGCCUGGGGAUACGGCCGCAAGGCUG